rnacentral:misc_RNA from 1 species
GAUGAAGAACGUAGCGAAAUGCGAUAAGUAAUGUGAAUUGCAGAAUUCAGUGAAUCAUCGAAUCUUUGAACGCACCUUGCGCCCUUUGGCCAUUCCGAAGGGCAUGCCUGUUUGAGUAUCAUGAACACCUCAACUCCUCAUGGUCUUCUAUGAUGAGCUUGGACUUUUGGGGCUUGCUGGCCCAUUUGGUCAGCUCCUCUCAAAUGAAUCAGCCUACCAGUGUUUGGUGGCACCACAGGUGUGAUAACAAUCUACGCUUGAGGUUUUCCACCAGGCAACCUUCAGUAAUUGGGGUUCACUGGGGCUCACAAAUGUCUUUCUUCAGUGAGGACAGCUCUUUGAAUGUUUGAUCUCAAAUCAGGUAGGACUACCCGCUGAACUUAAGCAUAUCAAUAAGCGGAGGA